rnacentral:rRNA from 1 species
AGUUGAUCAUGGCUCAGAUUGAACGCUGGCGGCAUGCCUUACACAUGCAAGUCGAACGGCAGCACGGGAGCUUGCUCCUGGUGGCGAGUGGCGAACGGGUGAGUAAUACAUCGGAACGUACCCUGAAGUGGGGGAGUAACGUAGCGAAAGUUAACGCUAAUACCGCACAUUCUGUGAGCAGGAAAGAGGGGGAUCGCAAGACCUCUUGCUUUAGGAGCGGCCGAUGUCGGAUUAGCUAGUUGGUGAGGUAAAGGCUCACCAAGGCGACGAUCCGUAGCGGGUCUGAGAGGAUGAUCCGCCACACUGGGACUGAGACACGGCCCAGACUCCUACGGGAGGCAGCAGUGGGGAAUUUUGGACAAUGGGCGCAAGCCUGAUCCAGCCAUGCCGCGUGAGUGAAGAAGGCCUUCGGGUUGUAAAGCUCUUUCGGUGGGGAAGAAAUUGCUUCGGUUAAUACCUGGAGUAGAUGACGGUACCCGCAUAAGAAGCACCGGCUAACUACGUG